GUCUUUUAAUUAAGGGCUGGAAUGAAUGGUUGGAUGAAAAAUAUACUUUCUUUAUUUUAUAAGGAAAACUUGAUUUUUUAGUUAAAAAGCUAAAAUUUUUUUAUAGGACGAGAAGACCCUAUAGAACUUUACUAUUAAAAUUAAAUAAUUUUUUUAUUUUAUUAAAAGGUUUUUUAUUAAAAAUAGUUUUGUUGGGGUGACAAAAAAAAUAUUAUAACUUUUUUUAUUUAUAUCAUUUAUUUAUGUUUUUUUGAUCCUUUAUUAUGGAAAAUAAGACUAAGUUACCUUAGGGAUAACAGCGUUAUUUUUUUGGAGAGUUCUUAUCGAUAAAAAAGUUUGCGACCUCGAUGUUGGAUUAAAAUUAAUUAUAGGAGCAUAAUAUUAUAAAUUAGGUCUGUUCGACCUUUAAAUUUUUACA
rnacentral:rRNA from 1 species